rnacentral:rRNA from 1 species
UAGCAGAGGGUGCGAGCGUUGUCCGGAAUCACUGGGCGUAAAGGGCGCGUUAGGCGGCCCGGUAAGGUUGCGGUGAAAAGCCCGGGGGCUCAACCCCGGGUCGGCCGUGGCAACUGCUGGGACUGGAGCACAGUAGGAGGCGGGUGGAAUUCCGGGUGUAGCGGAUGGAAUGCGUAGAGAUCCGGAAGAACACCGGUGGCGAAGGCGGCCCGCUGGGCUGUUGCUGACGCUGAGGCGCGACAGCGUGGGGAGCAAACAGG